GAGGAUCAAAGAAUUGCGUAAAGAUACUCGUAAAGAAGGUCAAGUUACGAGAAACAUUGUAUGCCAUUGUAGGAGGCAGAGGUUUAACAACUGUGUCAAUGCUGAAGACACGUUGAAGAAACUGGAAGUUACGUUGGAAGCUGUAACGAAGUUCAGGAUCAAUUUCAAGUGAAUCAUCUGCUUCAUUGUCUUUGGAAUUCACGGUUUUUUUACCAGGAACGUGCAUAGUGGAUGUUUUACCUGGUUGGCUAGUGACUUUGAGCCUUGCGUCUUUGAACUUUUCAUCUUGUUCUUGGUCUACCCUCCAUGGUGCUGACGCUAACAGCUCUUUC
rnacentral:misc_RNA from 1 species